rnacentral:rRNA from 1 species
UAGGGAAUCUUCGGCAAUGGACGGAAGUCUGACCGAGCAACGCCGCGUGAGUGAAGAAGGUUUUCGGAUCGUAAAGCUCUGUUGCUAGAGAAGAACGUUGGUAGGAGUGGAAAAUCUACCAAGUGACGGUAACUAACCAGAAAGGGACGGCUAACUACGUGCCCGCAGCCGCGGUAAUACGUAGGUCCCGAGCGUUGUCCGGAUUUAUUGGGCGUAAAGCGAGCGCAGGCGGUUCUUUAAGUCUGAAGUUAAAGGCAGUGGCUUAACCAUUGUACGCUUUGGAAACUGGAGGACUUGAGUGCAGAAGGGGAGAGUGGAAUUCCAUGUGUGGCGGUGAAAUGCGUAGAUAUAUGGAGGAACACCGGUGGCGAAAGCGGCUCUCUUGUCUGUAACUGACGCUGAGGCUCGAAAGCGUGGGGAGCAAACAGG